AGCGACAGAGAGAAAGAGAGAGACAGAGAGAGAGAGAGACAGAGACAGACAGAGAGAGAGACAUAGAGAGAGACAGAGAGAGAGAGGAUUGUGGUGUGAGGGUGGUAUUCUGACAGACAGUUCAUUUAAUUAAACCUCUAUUCCUGUGUGGUCACAAGCUCAGCUGUGACCAGCCUGUGAAAUGAAACACUCUUUUAUAGUUCCAAUAUAGCUGCCAUUUAUCUACUGCCUAUAUUAAUGGACUGGCUAAUGGCAGACCCUAAACAGGAGCUUGUUAAGUACAUACUGUAUUAAUUAUACAAGUACCGCAGUGCUCAGAUAAGCUCAUUAACCAGGAGGCCUGUUUUACUGCUGUCAUAAACUGUUCUAUCUUAAUGUCAUAUACUGCCAUAGAAAUAUCUUUUAGUUAUGAGAUAGUGCACUACUCUUCGUGCAUUAAACAUGUAGGGAAUAGGGUACCAUCAGGGACACAGACCUAGUUGAUUCAGUCCGUAUUUCGGAAGUUCAGCGCUGUCGCGUGAUUGAAACGUAAAGGUCAUUUCCGAUGGGAACAUUGCCUAGCACUGUUGGAGCUAGGAACACAAGCAUUUCUCUACACGCGCAAUAACAUCUGCUAAAUAGGUGUAUAACCAUUCAAAUUUGAUUUGAUUUACAUUUCAAACGUGCUACAGCGCUGAACUGCCGCGAUACGGAUUGAAUCGAGCCCCUAAUGUAUCCAGUAAAGACAAUAAAUGCUCAUUUAGAUCCAGUGAAGGAGAGAGACCUGAGAGACACCGGAGAGAGACCGGAGAGAGACCGGAGAGAGGUGAGGAGGGAGGAAGGGGAGAUGUUGAAGGGAGAGAGAGUAUUGGGUAUUUGGGUUAUCUGAACCAUUAUCUGAAAAAUAUAGUUUAACUGGAGCUGCCAGGGAGCUCUGCUUCCAUCCAACAGGAAGGUAUGAUUACAGAGGCCUGGCACUGGGCGCUGUUGACGGGCUGGCUGCUUUUAUACACUCCGUUAGCUAUGCUGGCUGGGUUUUGGCCCUAAAAUAGCUGGGUCAGACCCUAUGCUAGCUACACCAGCUGGCUUUAGGCCCUCUAUUUUACACAGGCUUUAGGUCUAACAAUAACAAGCCCAAUGAGAGCUACAUUGCAGAGUGCAGAGCUGAAGGCUCUUUAGUCUGCUAAAGACAAUUGUUACCUCUGCAUUAUGACCAUUCAAUGACCUCUACCAAGGAUGUCUGGAGUCUGGACCUUUAUGUCAUCACUGGAGCCGGUGGCCUUAACCUGCAACUGCAGGCUUCAAGCCCUGCUGUCUCUCCGGCUGUUCUCUCUAAAUCAGGACAGUUUGCCAUUCGGCGUCAGUGUGAAAAACAGGAAGGAAGAACACACACACACAAUCAUACUUAGAAGGCUAUCGCUAACUCUAAGAGGAACUUGACUUCUGAUAUUACAGAGAAAUAUGCUAUAUGCAUUGGCAAAGACAACAUAGCAUGUGAUAACGCUUAGGCAAUGGUUUCUGGAUGCCUUAUGUUUUGGAGGGUAGGGGGGUUGAGGUGCGGGGGUUAGUAAACACUGGAUUAGGCAACUGCUAACUGGGACUGUUGACACCUGAUUGGGCAACUUGUAAGCACUAAACUGGAACAUACAAUUCAAAAUAGUUUUAUGUUAUUGAAUUGGGACUGGAAAACUGUAAGCCUACUGCACAUAGUCAGAGUUUGAAUUUAUCAGGAGUGGUAUAUAUUAUUCUGGUGCUGCCUUGUCUGAGCUGAGGCUUACAUCAUUAGACCGGCUUUAUGUCAGCUGUCUGUGUGUCUCCAGUGUCAUGGCAUCCUGUCUAGGGGCUGGAUUCGAACCAUAGAGCAGAAUGUCAUUUUUUGUAGCGCGGUUGAAAUGUUAAGGUAAUUUUUGAUUGAGGCGGCAUAUGCAGCGUUUACCGAGAAUGCAGUCACCGUGAACGCGGAAACAUUGUCUUCAAAUUUCAAUCGUGCUUAUCUUCGGCGCUAAUGAUUCAAUCUAGCCCUAGAUAGUGUUGGGCGGAUUACUUUAAAAAUGUAAUCUGUUGCGGAUUACAGUUACAUGAAAAUAAAGUAAUCGGUAACGUGAUCCUUUGGAUUACUUUGGGAUUACCAGAUAUUUUAAAACAUAAAAAAAUGUUCACCUAAUACAGUAUUAUUUAACUGAGUAACAUUAGUCUUUCUAAAUGGGGGACUAUUGUGAGAGCAUAAAGAUCCUACAACUCAUAUGUUUGAUAUGUGAGAGCAUAAAGAUCCUACAACUCAUAUGUUUGAUAUGUGAGAGCAUAAAGAUCCUACAACUCAUAUGUUUGAUAUGUGAGAGCAUAAAGAUCCUACAACUCAUAUGUUUGAUAUGUGAGAGCAUAAAGAUCCUACAACUCAUAUGUUUGAUAUGUGAGAGCAUAAAGAUCCUACAACUCAAGUGUUUGAUAUGUGAGAGCAUAAAGAUCCUACAACUCAAGUGUUUGAUAUGUGAGAGCAUAAAGAUCCUACAACUCAAGUGUUUGAUAUGUGAGAGCAUAAAGAUCCUACAACUCAAGUGUUUGAUAUGUGAGAGCAUAAAGAUCCUACAACUCAUAUGUUUGAUAUGUGAGAGCAUAAAGAUCCUACAACUCAUAUGUUUGAUAUGUGAGAGCAUAAAGAUCCUACAACUCAAGUGUUUGAUAUGUGAGAGCAUAAAGAUCCUACAACUCAAGUGUUUGAUAUGUGAGAGCAUAAAGAUCCUACAACUCAAGUGUUUGAUAUGUGAGAGCAUAAAGAUCCUACAACUCAAGUGUUUGAUAUGUGAGAGCAUAAAGAUCCUACAACUCAUAUGUUUGAUAUGUGAGAGCAUAAAGAUCCUACAACUCAAGUGUUUGAUAUGUGAGAGCAUAAAGAUCCUACAACUCAAGUGUUUGAUAUGUGAGAGCAUAAAGAUCCUACAACUCAAGUGUUUGAUAUGUGAGAGCAUAAAGAUCCUACAACUCAAGUGUUUGAUAUGUGAGAGCAUAAAGAUCCUACAACUCAAGUGUUUGAUAUGUGAGAGCAUAAAGAUCCUACAACUCAAGUGUUUGAUAUGUGAGAGCAUAGUCACAGGGCUCCAUACCAACAUUUUCAGUUGUCUGGACCAUAUGGUCGCACCAAGAUUUUGUUGCAGGGUCACGCAGUAGAAAACACGAGUUGCCUAAUCAUCUUAUUAAGUAAUUAAACCUGCUUCAUUAAGUACUAGAAUAAAAUGGUAUGAUCAAUAAAUUAAUUUGAAUGCACAAUUCCAGAUAUUUUUAUGAUGCACACCCUAAAUUGUCACGAAUUUUGAGUUGGACAAUUAGGCAAUUGUAUAUUACUGUCAAAAUACAUUCCCAGCAUUUUAGAGAUUAAGUAACUAUUUUAGGGCACAAAAAAUCACAAACAAAUUAAUUUGGGGCUAAUUCACCAAAUGAGGAAGUAGUUAGCUAGAUUGCAAACAAUACAUCUAGCCUAAUAUUAGACUACUGAUAGUUAGACUACUGAUAGUUAGACUACUGAGAGUUAGACUACUGAGAGUUAGACUACUGAGAGUUAGACUACUGAGAGUUAGACUACUGAUAGUUAGACUACUGAGAGUUAGACUACUGAGAGUUAGACUACUGAGAGUUAGACUACUGAGAGUUAGACUACUGAGAGUUAGACUACUGAGAGUUAGACUACUGAUAGUUAGACUACUGAGAGUUAGACUACUGAGAGUUAGACUACUGAGAGUUAGACUACUGAGAGUUAGACUACUGAUAGUCUGCCGUAGUAUUUACACCAGUAAAUGUAAUAUAUAGGCCUAUGUUGUCACCUUGAAUGGCCGACGUGAGUGCCCUAUGUUCAAUAGUAAGAGUUGAUAAAUAGAAUUCAGACCUACAGAACGCUGGGUCCCAGUUCUCUUCAGUGUUAUUCUGGGAUUGCGUCUUGAAAUAUUGCGCAAUCAGAAAGCAUUUCUCUACUGCUACGGACAGAGCUCACAACGGAGAAAGAGGGAAAGUGCAACGCAGCAAGCAGAAACUCUAUGACGACUGUCUGACCAGAAGGCUAGGUGUAAAGUUUUGGAAGCCUUACCUAUUCAUUCAACCAGUUCAAUACUAAAGAAGCCAUCCAUCCUUGAUGAGAGGCGCUGUGUGGCUGUACGGUGAACAUUCCCACCCUGGAUAACCGCGUCAUCCCGCUAUCCUGCCAUGAGGUCAUCAAGCCGGGGA